rnacentral:misc_RNA from 1 species
CACAUCCUUCAAAUCCACAUCCAGAGUGUAUCUCGUAGGCAUCACAUGGCUGUAGUUCAACACCUUGAUAAGCGCCUUCACGCGCGACUCCUUCGCUGUCUUCUUCGCUGAGUCUUUAUUGAUCACCUUCGAUGGGUACUUCGAUAUUCCAGCGACCAGGCAGUGGCCGUAUGGGCGAUCACGGGUCCCGUCAUCGAAGAAUCGGAAAAUCACCGCCUUCCGGCGGGCGGAGCGACCCUGGAGGAGGAUAACCGCCUAAAUGGGUUUCAAGAACUUGACCAUCCUCGUUUCAGGCGGAGGCGAGCGAAAGGUUUCGAGAUUUCUUUACCUUGUCGCUGCUCGUAAAGGAGGGGCCAAUGUCUACCAGGGUUUGUGUGAAGAGGCUGAUAUGAAUCGGGAUGGGCCUCGAUAGUGGAUAAAAUUAGAGAACUGCCACAUCAAUAGAAUUCAAGCCUGCUUUCACUGACCCAUGGGCAUGACCCUAGUUUUGAAUUUGCUUGAUAUGCCUUCACAGGCCUGGCAAUGUCCGCAUGGAAUUUUUUUGUACAAUUGAAACUCUAACUUGAAACCACACACCAUUGUAAUAUUUGCUUGAAUAUGCUGUUGUUUCAUAUGUGAAUCUUUUUGCACUAGAUCUGAAAAUGUUCCUUCGGCUAGUAGGCCUUUUCUCUUUAGGUUUCAUUGUUAAUCAUGUGAUAGUUAAAUGCUCAUCAAAGGUUUUCACAGGUAUAGAAGUUCAUAAACAAAAUGAUGAAAAAGGCCCGCACAGCAACAAAAUAUUAAUUGGCUCCAGGAAUUAGUAGGAUGCUCCAGAGUAAAACAAAAUGACAAACUCAUGCAUCGGUUUUACUCAUUUUAUUUUCGAAGCCUGCCAUUAUGACACCUGAAAUAGAAAGGAAAUAGAAGUGAAUGCCAGUGAUUCAUGAUUAUACAGGCAUUGCAAGCCUCAUGAACUAGUACACAACUUCUUCACCUAUUAAUAUUAGAACCUGCCAUGCAGUGAGCAUCCAAGAUUUGUGGACCUGAAAACAGCUACAGAAAUUCACAGAGUGUACAGAGCUCAGAUGUAAAAAAUUAUAUGUUGGGAAGACUUUGUAAUGCGACUCCAGCAGGUACUUUUUGAAAAGCAACGGAAAUAGUAAUUUUAUUCUUAUUCAAUUGUAACCGAAACCUUUUCUUCUCAUACAGAGUCUGGAGAAUGAAGGUAGUGUUGCCUCAACUCUGCACCAGAGGCCAUGGAUAAUGCGCAGAAUUAAAUUAGUAGCUCUCUCUCAAGGCUUCAAAUCUGCAUGUCUUAUUGUUAUUUGUUCAGUUCUACAAAACAGUGCACUGUGCUCAACGAGCACACUAUAAGAGUAUAAAUACAUAAGAAAAUAAAUUAAGCUUCAGUAGAACCACCAAUAUAGAAUCUCAGUCACAGCCCAAGAACAACACACAAUUUGCUAUGUCAUCUUGGGAGAAUUGAUGCAUCAACACAAUGAAAGUACUAUGACCCCAAAAUGCAACCACGAGCUGCUUAAUGCCAUAACUGACAGUAAACCAGGGAGAUCAAUUCUGUCAAACCUAGUCAGAAGCUUAUCAAGGAUCAUUGCCAUUUGGAAAACAUAGAAAUUGAUUCCUGCACACAGAAGUACAAGGAAAUUAUUUAUCAGCAAACAAAGGUAGAGAUAUGCAUGGGUACAUGCAUGCAUAUCUACAUGUGCAUGUGAUAAUGAGGGAAGAGAGACGGGACUCAUGAGGGAUCUACAAGGACAUGAAAAUGAUAAUGAUGAGUAUUAAUAAAAUAGAUGUAAACUCUUGGAAGCAUUAAUUUAAGGCUAUGAAUGAGUAGCCAUAGAUCCCCACAGAUGUCCGAACAAUUCACCUACUACAAUUGUUCAUUAAACAGAUCUCUGAGCUAUAAAGUUGGACGUAGAAUAGCAAAUAAAUAUAAACUCCAUCACAGAGCAAGAAAAAGCUCAAGAAAGGUGUUGAACACCUUUAUCUGCUAACAACCAGAUCUCCUACCAGAUAUAACCCUAGGCCAAACGAUAUGUUUCCUUCAUAUUAUCCAUUCACAUAACAAGAUGUAAAGACACAUUCCAUGCGAUAAAAACAAAGCUGAGAUUUAAACUUACGAUGUUAUAGCAUAUCAUAGUAUUGUAAUACCAUAUAGAUCUAAAUGUACUUCUAAGCAGGCAACACAUGCAUAAACAUAGUAUCCAGUUGGACUGAAUUUUUUUUGCCUUCAAAGUGAAGUCUCUAUAGCACAACUGUAUCAUAGUUCAUGUAAUUUGAUGAAUUGCCAAUUCAUGUUUGAUGUAGAUAAGUCGCUGCUGGAAUUAUUUCCUAGCAUAUAAAGGAAUUUAAAUAAAUUGGUUGUAUAAUUUCCCACAAUUCAUGAAUUACACACACAAAAAUGCACAGAAAUAGAGUCCAUCUAUUUUGUGUCAAAUAAAGUACAUCACUAAUAAUAGAGCUUCUUUGUACUUUCUUUUUGUACAAUUUUCAAUCAGCCAACAGAAAACCAUCAUAUAUUCAUAAUACUGAGAUACCAAGCAAUUGUUCUUAUGAGAAUGCUACAUGCAUGCAUGCAAAUACACAUGUACAUGCACAUGCAGUCAUGUAUUUGUGAGGCCUCAAGCAUAAGAGACAUUUGACGUAAAAGAUAUGAGUAUAUGGAUAUGGAAUUUGAAGAGUUCAGUUACAGGUACAAUUGGCCGAGUGUUGACUGCCUUGUCCAGUUUCGGUCAGACUUAGCUCCAUACCAUGAGUUGCUGUCCACCCAGGCUCAUAUGCUUCAAGAAAACCUAUCUUUGCCUUAUUCGGCAAAUCAUGGGGAUGAACAAAUGGUACUCCAGCAGGCCAACCGAUCUCCAUUCUAAUAUUGGCACAUGGGCUAUCCAGGGUAUGAAUGUGAUUCUCACACUCCUUCAAGUUGCAGAAUCUUAGCUUGAUGCCUUUCUUAUCUGCAAUGUCCUGAACUCUUUCCUUCAGAACCCUUUGGGCCUCAAGCCUUAGCCUCUUAGAUGGUGGCAGAGGUUUGCAUCUUGAAUUAUUCUUCCUCCUCAUUAUGGCCUUCACAGAUCCUGUAACAGCAUGUCAUCGAUCCAAGGACAUGCUGUUAAAAACUUCUUGCUAAGGACAACUUGCACAGAAAAGAAAAGUGAAAAACCCAAAAAGAAGAGGGUCCAAAAGAUUGGAACGGCCAAAAAAAGUUAUCACGACUUGGUAUAGAAAGAGAAAAGCCCAAUAAGGAUUUCUGAUGUUAAGAACUAUAGACUUGACAAAUUUCAAUUUCCUUUCCUAUUAUCACAAGAAAGCAGAAAUUUUUUCUCUGAUUUUAAAGGCAAAGCAGAUCCUUAAAUUUAAUAGACUUGUACAUGCCUUUCAGUCUUUCACACAAGGACAAGUGAAAUAGUGAAUGGCAUACUUAACACCCUAAAGACUGACCAAAAUACAGCGAGUCAUCGAGUUGAAUUUCAUUGCAGAAGAAAUAAUAGGACAAUCUCCUAUUAUAUUCAUUUUAUGUUAGUGAACUGAUACAUGCUAGAUUAGAAAAAAAGGCUCAAUGAAAUGACAUUUGAAAAACUAUUAAAGUGAUGAGAGAUAAGAAAGGUCAAAUCUUCAAACAGAACCAACAAACUAAAUAUAAUAGAAUAACUAAUAAAGAAAAGCAACAAGUAUGUAUUUUAGUGCUGCAUGAAAUAUGAAGAGCCUAAAAGAGUAAGAAAGAAACGGUGGUAUAUGCCAUUUAAAGGGAAGCGUUCAUGCAAUUGAUUUAGGUAAAUUUUUAGCACGGAUUACAUUUACAUUUACUAAUUAGACAAACAAAACAAGAAAAACAAGAAUGUUAUGUGAGUGCCGCCUACCAUCUUGAGAUGUUGAGAAAUUGAAAUUUUGUAAAGUAUGCCUGUUAAAAAGCUGAUCAGUUGGGUGAGGUCUCUGCAUGAAAUCAUCCACAGGUACUGGUAGCUGGAACUGAGCUUCAACACCAUGACCAGCUGCUCUCAUCUCCGAACAACUGAGACUGGUCAUAGACUUCGGCAUAAGUUUAAAAGCCAAAGAACAGCGCCCAUACAUGUUCCCCUGCAUGUUAUUAAUCUCUGUUCUGUGAAGCGCAGGGUUGAUAUAGCCUGCAGUUGCCUGGUACAGGGCAAGUCCAGGGUAAACAAUGGCUUCUUGAGGACCAAGAUCUCCAUCCACAAGAACCCAGCGACCAUGAAAAUCUCUAACAUGUAAACCCGCCUUAUCGGACUUAACAAGAGAUAUGAGGCUUUUAUCAAGUUGGUGCUCAUGAUCAGAAUACAUAACCAUCUGACCAUCCUCUCGAUCAGUUAAAUUAUGGGGCUGCGCUCUCUGGAAUGAUGGUCUAGCAUAACAGCAGACAGACAAUACCGAAGAGGAAAUUUCCCGACUUCUCAAGGGAACAUUAUCAAGUAUUUCAGUAAAAGGAGAGCUACGCAAGUUUAAAUAGAAGCUGAUGGCAUCCAGUAUAUCCCUAGCUGCCUUUCCGAGCAGGGCAAAUAUGUCAGGCAAUCCUCCUGGAGGGAAUUCCAUGGAAUUAUUCGGCUCUGUAGGAGUCAGGCCUGGUCUAUAAUCAUAGGUUUCUUGCCACAGCUGAGGAUCAGCAUAGUAACCAGAUGUCUUGCACCAUUCGCGAGAAUCAUUAGUAUGAAUCAUAUCUGCAGAUGGGUAUGAUGAUUUUUGAUGGAAGUAAAGGCAAGCAGAAUCCAAGCCGGAUCUUAGAAGAGCCCCAUCGAUGCCCGAGAACUGAAUGAUGGCAGCAGAAUAUUGAGCAAGUGACUCUGACAAAGUGGAGACUGAAAGUUUGUAAGACUCAGAAGGAAGGCCUUCAGAGGGAAUAAGAUCACUGAGCUUCACACGACCCAAAGAUGGCAGUGGCAGGCCAUUGCCUGCCAUGAAAUUGUCACAGUUACCUGAGCUAAAGCUUAAACGGAAAGCCUAACGGAAAGGGGAAUCAUCAAUAACAAUGUCAUUAAGCUUAAAAAUUCAUAAAUUAUUCAAUCGAAGAACCAAGCGUUAAUGCAGAAUUAGCUACAAAAAUCAAUAUUUUCUCGCAUCUACUUCGAUGAAGUUCCUGGAAAAAGAAAAAACAAACCUUUAAAGAGCCGAUAAUUUAAUAUGAAUAAUCGAACACGAAAUUUGAUGAAACGAGGAUUAGGGUUCGGCAGAGAGAGCGGCUGCAGAAACUUUUUGGUGGUUGGAUCCUUCUCCGUUUGUUUAUUAGUUUUCCACCCCCUCUUCGAAUUUUCCUGCCAACAAAACAAAGCUCACAUGCCAUAAAACCAUUUUCUUUUCUUUCCUUUUUCUUGUUCCUUUCCUUUCCUUCAGGUAAAGCUCAUUGCUCAUUUCCGGUUGAGGUCGUGUUCCUCCAUAUAAAAU